rnacentral:lncRNA from 1 species
GACCGAAGUGCCAUCACACCGGGCGGCCUGCGGCUUGGGGCCCCAGCCUUAACUUCUCGACAGUUCCGUGAGGAUGACUUCCGGAGAGUUGUGGACUUUAUAGAUGAAGGGGUCAACAUUGGCUUAGAGGUGAAGAGCAAGACUGCCAAGCUCCAGGAUUUCAAAUCCUUCCUGCUUAAGGACUCAGAAACAAGUCAGCGUCUGGCCAACCUCAGGCAACGGGUGGAGCAGUUUGCCAGGGCCUUCCCCAUGCCUGGUUUUGAUGAGCAUUGAAGGCACCUGGGAAAUGAGGCCCACAGACUCAAAGUUACUCUCCUUCCCCCUACCUGGGCCAGUGAAAUAGAAAGCCUUUCUAUUUUUUGGUGCGGGAGGGAAGACCUCUCACUUAGGGCAAGAGCCAGGUAUAGUCUCCCUUCCCAGAAUUUGUAACUGAGAAGAUCUUUUCUUUUUCCUUUUUUUGGUAACAAGACUUAGAAGGAGGGCCCAGGCACUUUCUGUUUGAACCCCUGUCAUGAUCACAGUGUCAGAGACGCGUCCUCUUUCUUGGGGAAGUUGAGGAGUGCCCUUCAGAGCCAGUAGCAGGCAGGGGUGGGUAGGCACCCUCCUUCCUGUUUUUAUCUAAUAAAAUGCUAACCUGC